GGAGAGGUGCCCGGAGUGGCUGAUCGGGGACCGAAGAGAGGUCGGGCUUCAACCAGCCCACGCAGGUUCGAAUCCUGCCCUCUCCGCCA
rnacentral:tRNA from 2 species